rnacentral:lncRNA from 1 species
AGCCGCGGAAGUGGCGGAAGACGCGGAAGUGGUGGAAGACGAAGUCUAGGCAACCCGAGUGGUCCCUUUUCAUCCUCAACGUAGGUGAUAUUGCCACCUUUCCCUGAUCAUAGUGAAGGAAAAUGAAUCUACAUGAGAUAUAGAGUGAAGUAUAUAUAUAUAGGGCUAGAAAGUAGCAAACGGACUCCGUUACCAUCUAUUUGUUUUCGAUGAUGAAGCCUCUGAAUUGACGAUCUGUACCGUUGAACGUGAUCUAUACCACUUGAAGCAUCUAGAAAUCAAAUUUGAUACUUUUUCGAUAUUGUUUUCUUGUCCAUUAAGUGGACACAAAAAUGAACGGUUGCAAAUAAAUAUUCUUUAAAAAAUAAUAAUAGGAGUCUUGUAAUCAAGAUUAAGAGUAUAUAUCUUGUUCUAAAUAGUUUAAAGAAUUUUUUAACAAAAAAUUCAAUUGAUUUGGAUAUCUUUACGCAGUUAAACGAGAAAACGUCUCAUAUCGACCAUUAAAAUUAUAAAUUUUGAAAUUCUUUGAUCAUUAGGUAAAUGAUAUCGAAAAGAUUUGAAAUUUGAUUUCUAAAUACUUUAACUAAUAUAGAUCAUGUUCAACGAUGCCGAUCGUCGAUUUGGAGGCUCUAUCUUCAAAAACAAAUGAAUGACAAUAGAGCCUGUUUGCUAUCGAUACGUAUUUCUAGCUCAACUCUAUAUAUAUAUAUAUAUAUAUAUAUAUAUAUAUAGGAGAGAGGAGAGAGAGAAGGAGAGAGAGAGAGAGAAGAGACGAGAGAGAGAGACGAAGAGUAGAGAGAGAGAUCUAGUUUGUCGCGAGUAUAUAAUAUAUGAUUCCAGCAUUGAUUGACGAUAUAGUUCGAUAUCAUCAAUCUAUACAUAAAUAAAAGGCGAAACCCUCACUAGGCCACACUGUUGCUUUCUCACGACCCUCCCCCCCCCCUUCUCAAGCUUGCUGAGGGGGGGCGGCUUCUCUCACACACACAAGCCAACAGCACCUUCUUGGCUUCUCGAUCCCGAAGUCUCUCUCCUCUCUCUCGCUGGUGCGCCUGGAGAGGGGACUGGCGCACAUGCCUCCCCCCCCCGGCUCUCUCUCUCUCUCUGCUGCCCCGUCCCUCUCUUGUCUCGUCUUCUCUCGUCGCUCUCUCUCUCUCUCAUCUCUUCUCUGACCGUGCCCCCAGGCGAGAGGGACCCGCGCACCAUGGCAGGGCCCCCCGCGUUGUCUCUCCUCUCUCUCUGAGCUCUCGCUCCCUCCUCCCGCUGCCUCCUCCCACUCGUACUAUGGCCACGUGGCCCGUCCCCGUCCGACUCUCUCGGCUCUGCUCUCCGCAGUCCUCUCGACCCUUAACACAUCUUCCGCGUGGACGUGGGCACCGACGACAGAAUCUCCCUCAUAUCAUCUCUCGCUCUCGUCUCCUCGCCUCUCUCUGCGGCGCGCCAGGAACGCUUCACGCGUGGAGGAGGCGCGCGCCGGGUCUGCGGUGUCGCCCCAUGUCAGACCAUGGCAAGGCGUCCCCACAGCCCCUACCGGUUCUGUCUCUCUCUUCUACGUGUCAUCCCCGCUUUAACGAACCAACCACCCGAAAACCCCCCUCGAAUCCUUCCCACACGCGCCCCCCUACCCCGGAUCUCUCGCUCCCCCCCGCGUCCCCGCGCCGGCCUGGCCGGCGACCCCCCCCGCGCGUUACCCCGCGCACCCUGUACCUGGCCCUGUCUGUUUCGCCUCGGUCCUCCUCACCCCCCCAGCCCCGGCUCUCUCGUCUUCCACCAUUUUCCUGCUCCCCCUCACGAGGGGCAGGGCGAGGCGCGAGGGGGGGCGGCGCGAGCGGGCGGCGGCGCGCAGGCGGGAUCAACGUGGUCUGGCGCGCGGCACCGGCGCGGGCGGCAGGGGGCAGGCACGGAGCGCGGGGCUCGGCGCGGGCGGGCCGAAGACGGCUGCGGCAGCAGGGCAGAGCGAGCGUCGCGGGGAAUAGGCGCGUGGGCGUGUGCGGGGGCGUGCGGGGGCCGUGCGGGCGAGCGGUGGCAUGCGGGGGGCCCAGUGCGGGACCCAGCAGGGGAGAGGGAGAAAGAAUUUUUUUCCCCUCUGCUCUUCAUUUCUUUUUCUUUUUUUUUUUCUCGUCUGCCCUUUUUCCUUCAAAUUUUUUAUUUUAACUGCCGGGCCCGGCCAAACCCUGCGACCAAGGGCCGGAGCCCUAACCGCUUGGCGCUCUGCGCACAUUCAGCAGUCUCAUCGUUGACGGCUCGCGUGAGCGUCUGGCGCCGGAACAUCACGGGGCUCCUGCAUGCGGUCCACGCACGCGGGCGGCCCUCAUGUGGACGCGCUGAGGGAGACGGGGUACGUUGGACGCCCUCUCUCCCUCUUUGUUGCUCAAUUUAUAUAUAUAUAAUAAUAUAUGAUCAUAAAUAUAUAAGGUCGCAUCUGCCUGCCCCGCCCGCUGGAGGGUUCCGCGGCCACCCAGAGCUCCGUUCGUGGUUAUAAUAUAUAUAUAUUAUAUAUAUAUAUAUAUACAUACCCAAUUUUGAAUUUUUUCACGAUAAUUUUAAAUUUUAAAUUUAAUUUUAAAAUUUAAAAGUUGAAAUUUAGAAUUUAACAUCAAAUUUAAAUUUGAAAAUUUAAAAAUAUCAAAUUUAAAAUUUAAAACUAUAAUUUUAGUUUUGAAAUAAUAAAUUAUAAAUAUUUUAGUUUUAAAUAUUCAAAUUGUAAAAUUUAAAUUUAAAUUUUAAAAUUUAUUAUAAAAGGGGGGAGAGAGAGGAAAAAGAUGGAUAUAACAUUGUUCCACAUAGGGAUGGGAACUAGGAAUAGCUAUUCUCACUCUUAAAAAUUAGUGUUUGGGCAUGUUUGGGGGCUUCAAUAUUAAUGUUCUUCGCGGGCCCAGCUGUGGAUUCUUUUGUAAAAGGAGAAAACGGUGUUCACAUGAAUGAACCUGUUUUCGUUUUCGACCUUAGAAUCUAAUUAGUUACUUUCAUAAUCAUAUAUUUAUAUAUAUGUAUACGCGCGCCCGCGCACACACACACACACAUAUAAACAGUACACAUAUUUCAAAAUUUUAAGUGACGAUAUACAUGUUCAGAAAUUUAAUGAUAAAAGCCAGAAAGUAAACACAGUAAAUUAGAAGUAACGAUAUACAUGCUUGAAAAUUUAAGGCAAAAAAAACUUGGUCAAAUGCUCACUCAGAUAGUCAAAACAUCUUCAUUCUUUUCAUAGCAUAGCCAAAACGUUUUUUCCCCCUUUUAGUAAGAUUUUAUCUAUUUUUUCCAACUUUGUCAAAGAAAUGUUGUAUUUUAUAAACUAAUUAAGGAAUAAUCAUAACAAACAAUAGUAUGAAUUAUAUUAUAACUGCGUAUGGGAAAAGAGGAGGAGGCAGUUGAGGACAGGCAAAACUACCCAUAAGCAUAGAGCAGUAGUAGGAACAGCAGGAAACCGCAAGGGGAGAAAGUGUGCAGGGGAAAAAACGCAGCAAUGACAGAACAUAGUUUGGCGAAUAGUAGAUUACCAUUAAUUAAUCUAUUUGCUUUCUUUUAAAUUACAAUCUUGAUUAUUUAUGUUAUGCAGGCGCGGUCACGCCCGAGCGGGAGCAGGCGCAAGCGAGCAGGAGCGGGAGCGGGAGCGGGCGCGGGUGCGGGGCAGGUGCGGACGCUGCGCCCGCGCAUGAGCGUAGGGAAAGGAGUUUGGUGGAGAUAUUUUUUUUCCCCUUCUCUCUCUUUACAUAUAGAGAAGAGGAUUUUAGGGUUUUUUUUAAUUUUAAUUUAAUUUUGACUUUAAUUUAAGGUAUUUAAAUUUAGAUAUUUAAUUUGUAAUUAUAGAUUUUGAAUUAGAAAUUGNUAUAUGAUUUUAGUUUCUGAAUUGUAGAUUUUAAAUUUUAUAUUCAAAUUAUAAAGUUUAAAAUUUUAAAAAUUAUAUAUAUUAAUUUACUAAAUAUAUCAUGGAAUGUCAAAUUACCUAACUGAAUUCCUGAAAAUUCAAAAUUACAGCGAGUUAUUCGAUGCAUAUAAAAGUUUAGAAUUAGAAAGAUUAGGAAUAAACAAAACUCUAACUAAAAUCAUAUAUUCAAAAUAUACAAAUUGAAUUAAGAUAAAAUGUAUUUUUUAAAAUUUAAAUGUUCAAAAUGUUAAUUUCAAAUUUUAGAAUUUAAACAAAUGGGUGCUAAAAAUUUUUAAUUUUAAAUAAAUUGUAUAAAUUUCCCGCCGCGAAGCGCGGGCCUACACUAGUAAUAAUAAUGAUUCAAUGGUGAAAAUGCGGAUAGUAUAUAUAUUAAUAGUAUUACAGCUAAAGAGAGAGAGAGAGAGAGAUUUUUUAGAAACAUUUAUUAUAAACAAUUGAGUCGUCUUUUGUUUUUAAAGAGGAAUAUUUAAUCAAAGAAAAAUCAUUAUUGUGUACUCAAAAAAGGGUGUAGAUCUUACACAUCAUCUAAAUAUAGAUAAAAAUUCGAAUGAGUUUUAGUAUAAAAAAAAAAUUGAUGUGGUAAAUAAAAAAUUAAUGGUUCUUGAAUGGUAUAAGUGUAAGAUAUAUAUACACCCCACGUUGCAGUGUACCAAUAACAUUACUUUUUGGUUAGACAUCUUUGUUAUAACUGAAACUAAUGGAUUAUACUUUUUAUAUUUAACAGUUUAAUUGUCGCUGAAAUAACUAGAUUUUAAUUUUAUAAUGUAAGCACUAUUUUCGAAGGAGAUUGUAGUGAUCAUUAUUAUAAUUCAAGUUUUUAAUGGUGAUCAAAGACUGUUUUUAUAAUGUUCUUUAAUGGGUUUUGUUUAAAAUUUGGUGGCAAUAGUAAUUGUGUGAAAGCACUUUAUAGUUAAAUUAAAUAUACCGAGCUAGACUCCUAUACUUUCGAAAGUAUAUAGACCUCCGUACUUGUAAGUUGUUUUCGAUGAUAGGACGUCCGAUUUGGCGAUCGAUUUUAUUAGAUAUGAUCUAUGCCAUUGGAACUAUCUAGAAACCAAAUUUCAUAACUUUUUGACUUAGUUUGCCUAGUGAACGAGUAGCCUCAAAAUGAAUGGCUGAAAAUGAAAAUCUCAUAAAAAAUAGUGAUAAAGAAUUCAAAUUUUAAAUCAGAAAUAUUGUUCUUGCUCCCGAUGUUACGUAGAAUUUUCUAUUAAAGUUUCAUGUAAUUUGAAUACUUCUACACCGUUGAACUUAAAAACGUGCCACAUCAACCAUUAAAAUAGUUAUUUUCGAGACCAUAUGAUCAUUUGGUAAAUGAUGUCGAAAAAUUAUAAAAUUUGGUUUCUAAAGUUCCAAUAGCAUAGAUUCCAUUAGACAUGAUCUACACUAUUAUAACUAUCUAGAAAUCAAAUUUCAUAACUUUUUGACUUAGUUUGCCUAAUGAACGAGUAACUUCAAAAUGAACGACUGAAAAUAAAAAUCUCACAAAAAACAGUAAUAAAGAACUCAAAUUUUAAAUCAGAAAUAUUGUUCUUUUUUCUGAUGUUAUGUAGAAUUUUCGAUUAAAGUUUUAUGUAAUUUGGAUACUUCUACACCGUUGAACUUAAAAACGUGCCACAUCGACCAUUAUCAUUUUUGAGACCCUGUGAUCAUUUGGUAAAUGAUGUCGAAAAAUUAUAAAAUUUAGUUUCUAGAUAGUUCCAAUAGCAUAGAUUAUACCUAAUAGGACCGAUUGUCGAAUCGAAUAUUCUAUCAUCAAAAACAACUUACAAGUACGGAAGCCUCCAUACUUUCGAAAGCACGGAAGAUGUACUCAUAUAUACCUUAUAAUGACACUUGUAAUUAUUGGUAUAGUAUUUAUAUUUUAGGGGCAUUUAUUUUUAUCUUUACCGGCUAUCCGAAUAAAAGCCACUAAAAUCUUUUCCGACCCUGCCUAGAGCGGCAAUUAUAUCCAUUGUUAGUAAACGAAUUGGUGGCGAAUACAAAUGCUGGAAUACAAAUGCUGCUAAUUUAUAAAGUAAUCGCCACUAAAAGUUAAUUUUGUUAUAGUUAAAGCUAAAAACAAGGGAUGUAUUGGAUCAAGAGAAAAUGCCAUUGUGAUGCAUGAAUUAAUUGCAAAUAGCUAUACUUUAAAACUAGGAGUGGAAAUAUAAAUUUUUAAAAUUGAGAUAUCUGUUUUGCAAAUAGCCCAGCAUUUAGAUAACUAUUUAGAUAACCUUCAAAUUAAGGAAAUAAAUGUUAAAUAAGUGAUUACUCUUAAAAUUAACUUAUUAGAUAUUGGUGCUUUGGUCAUUUAUAUUUAACACUUCAUCUUAUGUCUAGGUUCAAAAAAUUUGAUUGGUCUAGAACAUAGGCGUAAAUUAAAUAGAAUGAGGUGAUUUGAACUCAAAAUCUCAUACUUUAAUGUUUUUUCGUUCAAUUUCAUUUUAAAGAAAACAAUCUUUUAUGGAAAAAAACUAGUGUUUUUUUUUUCCUAAUAAUACAGAAAUAUAAAAAUGCUAGUUUUCCGUGAAUAUAAAUUAAAGAUUUUCAAAAAUAUAAUACUUGUUUUUUCUACAAAUCAAAUACUCGAAAAAUUAGAAAAUGAGUUUUCGAUGAAAAAUUUUAUUCUUCGAAAACGUUUUUCAACAUUUUUCCGAGAAACCAAAUAGCCCCUAAGAUCAUAAUGAUAUUUUGUGUACGCUAAAUUACAGAAACUUCCUUACAAAUACUCACUUUGUUACUUUUUCUUUUUAACUUUUAAAAAUCUAUAUUUUACCCCUUAAUAUUUCAAAUUGGUUCCAUCACUAUUCCAGCAAUUUUUUAUAAUUUAUACCGAAAAAACUCUUCAAAAAUUAUUUUGCCUUGUCCAUUAACGCCGUACCCAACUAAAAAUAUUUUUGAAAUUUUAAGUGAGAGAAAUGUAAGUUUUCGAAAGUCAGAAAAAAAUAUAUAUAUAUUUAUAUAAGAGUUUUCUGUAAUUCAGCAUUUGUUUAUUUGUAUCACAAAACAAGGGCACGAAGAGAGUCACCGACCGGUAGUUGUGGUUGUCACAUUUGAUUUUUCCUCGGGGGCCGCCGGAGAGGCGAAGGGGACUUGCCGUGCCGCGGCCCCGGCGGCAAACACGCCGGCGACGAGCAGCAGGACGGCGAAGGUGAGGAA